rnacentral:lncRNA from 1 species
AUCAUACAAGUCCCUAUAAAACAUAUAUAUCCUAUUACUUAAUAGCAAACAAUAUCUUUUCAAAUAUACACCUACUCCCUAAUACAUUACUCCCUAAUAUACACAUUUCCUAAUCCUAUUUAUUACCACAAUUAAACACACCUACCAAACCCACCUAAAACCCUCAUAGCCGUUGGGUCCUUACCUCUACAAAUAUGAACCAUCACAAC